ACAGGCAUCUAACUCUCUUGAACUUUCCGUCUUUCCCUUUCUAGACUCAAAUUAAUUCUCUCUUUGAGAACCUAAAUUAGGAUGAAUUACUAUGAUUUCAUCCCUAUCUUCUUCAUUUUUCUAACUGAACAUCACUUGGAUCUAAUGGGGUGCAACAAUUGAGCUAUUUGAAUCGUUUGUCCAAUCUCUGCACGAGAUGGGGAGAUUAUUUGAAUCGUUUGUCCAAUCUCUGCACGAGAUGGGGAGAUUUGGAUACAUAUCGAAGAACCCUGUGAUUCACUUGUUUCAUCUACUGUCAAAAAAAAUAAGCAGAACUUUUUGAGGGGGAUAAGGAAAGUAUGGGGAGGAGAGGUUGUGUUAUAUCUUUCCAGGAACUGCCGUACUUAGUCCUCAUGUAUUUUUGGGCGAAAGUUUUAUGUGUUUUAAGUUGCUAUUUUGUAUGCGUUGCUAGUUUACAGAGCUCUGGGAUUUUCGUCAAUGUAUUGAUGUGUAUU